GGAAUAUUGGACAAUGGGUGAGAGCCUGAUCCAGCCAUCCCGCGUGAAGGACUAAGGCCCUAUGGGUUGUAAACUUCUUUUAUACUGGGAUAAACCUACUUACGUGUAAGUAGCUGAAGGUACAGUAUGAAUAAGCACCGGCUAACUCCGUGCCAGCAGCCGCGGUAAUACGGAGGGUGCAAGCGUUAUCCGGAUUUAUUGGGUUUAAAGGGUCCGUAGGCGGAUCCGUAAGUCAGUGGUGAAAUCUCAUAGCUUAACUAUGAAACUGCCAUUGAUAAUGCGGGUCAUGAGUGAGAUUGAGGUAGCUGGAAUAAGUAGUGUAGCGGUGAAAUGCAUAGAUAUUACUUAGAACACCAAUUGCGAAGGCAGGUUACCAAGUCUUAACUGACGCUGAUGGACGAAAGCGUGGGGAGCGAACA
rnacentral:rRNA from 1 species